CCUACGGGUGGCAGCAGGCGCGAAAACUCCGCAAUGCGCGAAAGCGCGACGGGGUCACCCCGAGUGCCGUCCGCUGAGGGCGGCUUUUGCCUGGUUUAACCAGCCGAGUGAAUAAGGGGAGGGCAAGUCUGGUGUCAGCCGCCGCGGUAAUACCAGCUCCUCGAGUGGUUGGGACGAUUAUUGGGUCUAAAGCGUCCGUAGCCGGCCGGAAAAGUUCUCCGUUAAAUCCGAUGAUCCAAUCGUCGGGCUGCGGGGAAUACUCUUCGGCUUGGGGGCGAGGGAGGUCGGCGGUAGUCUCGGGGUAGGGGCGAAAUCCUAUAAUCCCGAGAGGACCACCAGUGGCGAAGGCGGCCGACUAAAGCGCGCCCGACGGUGAGGGACGAAAGCUGGGGGAGCGAACGGGAUUAGAUACCCCAGUAGUCC
rnacentral:rRNA from 1 species